AGAGCGAACGCUGGCGGCAGGCCUAAUACAUGCAAGUCGAACGGAUCCUUCGGGAUUAGUGGCGGACGGGUGAGUAACACGUGGGAACGUGCCCUUUGGUUCAGAACAACUCAGGGAAACUUGAGCUAAUACCGCAUACGACCUACGGGUGAAAGCAGGGGAUCGCAAGACCUUGCGUUAUUGGAGCGGCCGAUGUCAGAUUAGCUUGUUGGCGGGGUAAAAGCCCACCAAGGCGACGAUCUGUAGCUGGUCUGAGAGGACGACCAGCCACACUGGGACUGAGACACGGCCCAGACUCCUACGGGAGGCAGCAGUGGGGAAUUUUGGACAAUGGGCGCAAGCCUGAUCCAGCCAUGCCGCGUGCGGGAAGAAGGCCUUCGGUUGUAAACCGCUUUUGUCAGGGAGAAACGCUCCGGAUUAAUACCUCGGAGUAAUGACGGUACCUGAAGAAUAAGCACCGGCUAACUACGUGCCAGCAGCCGC
rnacentral:rRNA from 1 species